rnacentral:rRNA from 1 species
GCAAGUCGAGCGAACAGAUAAGGAGCUUGCUCCUUUGACGUUAGCGGCGGACGGGUGAGUAACACGUGGGUAACCUACCUAUAAGACUGGAAUAACUCCGGGAAACCGGGGCUAAUGCCGGAUAACAUUUAUAACCGCAUGGUUCUAAAGUGAAAGAUGGUUUUGCUAUCACUUAUAGAUGGACCCGCGCCGUAUUAGCUAUUUGGUAAGGUAACGGCUUACCAGGGCAACGAUACGUACCCCACCUGAGAGGGUGAUCGGCCACACUGGAACUGAGACACGGUCCAGACUCCUACGGGAGGCAGCAGUAGGGAAUCUUCCGCAGUGGGCGAAAGCCUGACGGAGCAACGCCGCGUGAGUGAUGGAGGUCUUCGGAUCGUAAAACUCUGUUAUUAGGGAAGAACAAAUGUGUAAGUAACUGUGCACGUCUUGACGGUACCUAAUCAGAAAGCCACGGCUAACUACGUGCCAGCAGCCGCGGUAAUACGUAUGUGGCAAGCGUUAUCCGGAAUUAUUGCGCGUAAAGCGCGCGUAGGCGGUUUCUUAUGUCUGAUGUGAAAGCCCAGGGCUCAACCGUGGAGGGUCAUUGGAAUCU